AGUGAACGCUGGCGGUAGGCCUAACACAUGCCAGUCGAACGGCAGCACAGUAAGAGCUUGCUCUUACGGGUGGCGAGUGGCGGACGGGUGAGGAAUACAUCGGAAUCUACUUUUUCGUGGGGGAUAACGUAGGGAAACUUACGCUAAUACCGCAUACGACCUACGGGUGAAAGCAGGGGAUCUUCGGACCUUGCGCGAUUGAAUGAGCCGAUGUCGGAUUAGCUAGUUGGCGGGGUAAAGGCCCACCAAGGCGACGAUCCGUAGCUGGUCUGAGAGGAUGAUCAGCCACACUGGAACUGAGACACGGUCCAGACUCCUACGGGAGGCAGCAGUGGGGAAUAUUGGGCAAUGGGCGCAAGCAUGAUCCAGCCAUACCGCGUGGGUGAAGAAGGCCUUCGGGUUGUAAAGCCCUUUUGUUGGGAAAGAAAAGCAGCAGGUUAAUACCCCGCUGUUCUGACGGUACCCAAAGAAUAAGCACCGGCUAACUUCGUG
rnacentral:rRNA from 1 species